rnacentral:rRNA from 1 species
UACAGAGGGGGCAAGCGUUGUUCGGAAUUACUGGGCGUAAAGGGCGCGUAGGCGGCCUGUUAAGUCGAACGUGAAAUCCCCGGGCUCAACCCGGGAACUGCGUCCGAUACUGGCAGGCUUGAAUCCGGGAGAGGGAUGUGGAAUUCCAGGUGUAGCGGUGAAAUGCGUAGAUAUCGGGAGGAACACCAGUGGCGAAGGCGGCUUCCUGGCCUGUUCUUGACGCUGAGGCGCGAAAGCUAGGGGAGCAAACGGG